rnacentral:rRNA from 1 species
CCCUUAGAUGUUCUGGGCCGCACGCGCGCUACACUGACGAAUGCAACGAGCUUAUAACCUUGGCCGAAAGGUCUGGGUAAUCUCCAAAUUUCGUCGUGAUGGGGAUAGAUUAUUGCAAUUAUUAAUCUUCAACGAGGAAUGCCUAGUAAGCGCAAGUCAUCAGCUUGCGUUGAUUACGUCCCUGCCCUUUGUACACACCGUCCGUCGCUCCUACCGAUUGAAUGGUCCGGUGAAGCGUUCGGACCGUGGCCUUUGGACGGUUCGCCGUCUGUUGGCUGCGGGAAGUUCGUUAAACCUUAUCAUUUAGAGGAAGGAGAAGUCGUANCA